rnacentral:lncRNA from 1 species
ACAAACCUGACCAUCCUGAAGCUCAGCUCGUCAGGCAGGCCGGCGACAUCUCUGAGGUACCCGUUGCUACCCACCGCUCACCCACACCUUCAGCACAGAGUUCCUGAGGACGUACUGCGUGCUGGCUCUGCCGGUACCUCAGGGACCGAACAGUGAACCAGGCAGGCAAAAUCUGGCUUCUGAGCUUAACUUUGGCAGAACAUGAUGACAGGAAGCAAAUCCG